UGUGAAUACAGGAUUUCUCCUCUGUACACAUCCUCGCACAGAAAAAGAGAGAGACCGGGCAGCACAUUUCCCUCCAACAACCCCGUGAAGAUAAAAAAAAUCAUAGUUUCUAUCAAGGGGUCGUAAUUCCAACUAAAUACACAGGAGCAAAAUAAACAACGCAUGCCUAAAAUACUCAGUUCCAGUGUAAACAGUACAAAUGGGCAGGAUAUGUGUCUCUGAAGAACAAACGUGCAAGAACCAGGCCAGACCUCCCGUGUUUUAAUCUGAACCCCGGAGCAGAAGGGCUACGUGGCGAGAGGAACCUGCAGAGGCAUUGCAGUCUAUUACCACUGAGUUUCUAUUUAGUCCUUUGGAUCAGAAGAAUUUAAACAGGUCUAAAUUGAGGAUGAGCAGAUAUUGAAAUGCCCCACUUAUUGUGCCUGGGUGCCAAAGGAGGCCAUGGAAGUGUCAAAAGCUGAUGGAAAAAAACAAACCAGAACAAAUCCUCCAGUAACUCAAGACACGAAGGAAUGACUGGAGGUCCACCACCAACUGACAGAAGAAGCUAAGAUGCUGGAAUAAGAAGCAGUGGCUCCAUGUGUGAAACAAGCUUUGCAUUGCUGAGUUUAUAAGAACAGAAAACAUUGAGUUUUCUGUUCUACUUACUGAGUAAAGUCCCAGGAAAAAAAAUUCAGUGCCCCACUUGGGAUAUCCAUUUUCCUAGCUAACAUUUGCACAUUGCAGAGUUUUCUUCUUGAGACUAAGUGCAUCCCAGGGGCAGCUGCCUCCACUAGUCCCAUUUCAGACUCCAUUCAUCACCAUAUGUGAAAGAAGUUUCAGCUAAUUUCUUUAAGUAUUAGAUUUUUUUUUUAAGUUUUGGUUCACCCCUUCUUAUUAUAAAGGCUGCCUGUAGCCCUCU